GAACGCUGGCGGCGUGCUUAACACAUGCAAGUCGAACGGAAAGGCCCUGCUUUUGUGGGGUGCUCGAGUGGCGAACGGGUGAGUAACACGUGAGUAACCUGCCCUUGACUUUGGGAUAACUUCGGGAAACUGGGGCUAAUACCGGAUAGGAGCUCCUGCUGCAUGGUGGGGGUUGGAAAGUUUCGGCGGUUGGGGAUGGACUCGCGGCUUAUCAGCUUGUUGGUGGGGUAGUGGCUUACCAAGGCUUUGACGGGUAGCCGGCCUGAGAGGGUGACCGGCCACAUUGGGACUGAGAUACGGCCCAGACUCCUACGGGAGGCAGCAGUGGGGAAUAUUGCACAAUGGGCGGAAGCCUGAUGCAGCAACGCCGCGUGCGGGAUGACGGCCUUCGGGUUGUAAACCGCUUUCGCCUGUGACGAAGCGUGAGUGACGGUAAUGGGUAAAGAAGCACCGGCUAACUACGUG
rnacentral:rRNA from 1 species